rnacentral:lncRNA from 1 species
AUACUUGUUCAUACAUAUAUGAAAUCAACCAUGUAUAAGCAUAACAUUUUAUAUCAUCAAUGUUACCAUAAUGUCAUGUUUUAUAGCAUUUGCAUACUUACCAUUUCCAUUUCCUUUUCUUACCAUUUGAACCAUCUAGAAUUACAUCGGAUACUCAGGAAAGCUCACACGAAGUGUGUCUUUAUAUAUAAUCGUAACCUUUCCCUUACAUCAUUGUUCACACGAGCUGUGAAAUGGGCCUGCUCACAUGAGCUGUAGGUCAAAAUGUAAGCUACACGAUGC